UUCUUCUUUAGUUCAGCUGUGCACAGUAAUACAUAAAAUAACCAAUGAGCAGUCACAUAUGAGAAUCAUCACAAAGCUAGAUAACUCUUAAAAAGAUAAAUUUCAGCUCCUUGAAAAUAUUCAAUAUAUCGAUGAAAAAAAGAAAAACAUUGCAAACAUACGAAUAUAUUAAAUGUUCUUCCCAUUUAGCAAGAGGAGCUCAGAAUGGUUUGGGAACACUUAUUACAAGACUUGUAUUUUCAUUUUAUACAAUGUCAUCUUAUUAAUAAUGAAAAUCAAUUAUGAUACAACAUCAACACAUUUCAGAUAACCUAAGAAGAUAAUCAAGCCAAGAAAACAAUGGAAACUAGCCCAGACUAGAUACUGCCCCAGCUCAAGCUUAAGUUCUGCAUGUCCUACCAUAGCAUGCUACAUCAACAAUAGGCUCAAUUGAUCUAUAGGAAUUGUAAAAUAGAACUACUUGCAUUGACAAGCAUAAUUAGCAAUCCCUUUCUCCAAUAAUAGUCCAGAAACAAAAUCAUUAAAAAGUUGCCCACUUUUUAGAAGAAAUGUACAGGCAUCAAGUAUUCUGGAAAAUAUUGAGAAAUUACUAAUAAGAAGGAAUAACUCGAAAAAAGUAAGUCUAUAUGCAUAUGUUUGACA
rnacentral:misc_RNA from 1 species